UCCAACCAAUUACAUUUCCACACAAUCUAAUUACAUAUUCAGAAGUCGAUUUCUUUUCUAAAUGAUCUCCUGCCUUAUCAGCGUCCACAUAACAAUCUAUCGUUUCACAUUUUUCAUUCCUUUUAUAAUCUAAUCUUAAUCUCUAGUCCGGUACAAAUAUUUCAAUAUUCGCAAAGCAAAUUUAAAAUGUGUCUCAUUACAACAAUCUUGAAAUCU
rnacentral:misc_RNA from 1 species